AAAACCCUGGCCUUGAUAGACAACAAAACCCUGGCCUUGAGAGGCGACAAAACCCUGGCCUUGAGAGGCGACAAAACCCUGGCCCUGAGAGACAACAAAACCCUGGCCCUGAGAGACAACAAAACCCUGGCCUUGAGAGGCGACAAAACCCUGGCCUUGAGAGACGACAAAACCCUGGCCUUGAGAGGAGACAAAACCCUGGCCUUGAGAGACAACAAAACCCUGGCCUUGAGAGACGACAAAACCCUGGCCUUGAGAGGCGACAAAACCCUGCCCUUGAGAGGUGACAAAACCCUGGCCUUGAGAGGCGAUAAAACCCUGGCCUUGAGAGGUGACAAAACCCUGGCCUUGAGAGACAACAAAACCCUGGCCUUGAGAGACGACAAAACCCUGGCCUUGAGAGGAGACAAAACCCUGGCCUUGAGGCGACAAAACCCUGGCCUUCAGAGGCAACAAAACCCUGGCCUUGAGAGGCGACAAAACCCUGGCCUUGAGAGGCGACAAAACCCUGGCCUUGAGAGGCUACAAAACCCUGGCCUUGAGAGGCUACAAAACUCUUGCCUUGAGAGGAGACAAAACCCUGGCCUUGAGAGGAGACAAAACCCUGGCCUUGCGAG
ensembl:lncRNA